rnacentral:ncRNA from 1 species
UCACGCACAGGGCAAACCACUCUAAAGAGUGGGACGCAAAGCUUCCGGCCUAAACUAUCGCAUGAGAUAGCAUGGUAGCGGGGUUACCGAU